rnacentral:lncRNA from 1 species
UCCCCCUGAUAAAAACUUUACUUGAUAUCUCGAAAACAAUGCAUUCCAAUCUGGUAUCACAACUUCUCAAAUAUUGAUGUUGCAACCUUCAGUGAAUAAGUUUACAAGAUUAUCACUUGAAUGGAUCUUUGAAUGUCUAUCUCACCAUUUUGUUAAAGAUCAUGUGUGAAAAAGACUUUUGGUGAAAUAUACUUUGUCCGAUCUCCCUUGAUUGUAUA